GACGAACGCUGGCGGCGUGCUUAACACAUGCAAGUCGAACGGAAAGGCCCUGCUUUUGUGGGGUGCUCGAGUGGCGAACGGGUGAGUAACACGUGAGUAACCUGCCCUUGACUUUGGGAUAACUUCAGGAAACUGGGGCUAAUACCGGAUAGGAGCUCCUGCUGCAUGGUGGGGGUUGGAAAGUUUCGGCGGUUGGGGAUGGACUCGCGGCUUAUCAGCUUGUUGGUGGGGUAGUGGCUUACCAAGGCUUUGACGGGUAGCCGGCCUGAGAGGGUGACCGGCCACAUUGGGACUGAGAUACGGCCCAGACUCCUACGGGGGGCAGCAGUGGGGAAUAUUGCACAAUGAGCGGAAGCCUGAUGCAGCAACGCCGCGGGCGGGAAGACGGCCUUCGGGUUGUAAACCGCUUUCGCCUGUGACGAAGCGUGAGUGACGGUAAUGGGUAAAGAAGCACCGGCUAACUACGUG
rnacentral:rRNA from 1 species